AUGGAGUUUCUGUACUAUAUCUGUGCCAAAAUUCCCACUGUACAAAAGUGAUGAGCAAGUCAGCACUAUAAAAAAAGUCAAGGAGAAUCUCAGAGAAGACCUGGCAGCAUGGAAAACACAAAUUCGGAUCAUCAGCCCACCCACCAUUUACUGAGGAACCUUGGAAAAAAUUUUCAGAUUUCCUAAAAUUUGACUACCUGUAUUUCAAGAGACACUAGAGUUUCCAAAUAUCCCAUAAGGAAAUAAAAGCACGCAUUUCCGAGAUGGCUAAGUGUGUUCCUGCCUCGGCUCUGGAACAGACCGAUACAAACUGGCCUACAAGUGAAAAGAGCCAAGUCCAUCACCUCAUCAGCACAGCACUCCAACUCAGUGGUCAUCAAACUAUUUGAAUACCUGCCAUCAAAAAAAAAAAUUCUGAUUAUGUAACUUCAAAAUAUAUGUAUUUAUUAUAUAAGUUUAAAUAUUGAAAUUAAAAAAUAUAC